ACCCCGUUUCUCCAGUGGCCACAACAAGCGGGUCUUCAGCUGUGCUCCUGGGACUUGGGGAGCCUGGCUUGUGGGCACCCCCUGCCGGGUGCGCCCUGGAGUCUCCUCAUUAGCACCACGGACAGCUCGCGUGAGCCUGAGCUGGGAGGCGACCAGACGCUCAGCGCCAGCACAGGGAGGAGGGAGCGCAGCAGGGAAGGCGGAGGAGGAAGAGGAGAGGAAAGGAAGGAGGACGCGGAGGACGCGGCUCCCAGGCUGGGGAGGAAAUCUGGAAGCAGUCAGAGCAGCAUUCUGGGGGAGCUGUUCAGUGGCACAGCCUCACUGCUCAGGCAGACCCUAGCAGCUCGCCAGUCGCUCUGGGCGGAGGCUGCUGGCGGAGACCCGACGCCAGAGUUUAAAAUGCAAUGGCCAGAAGACAAGGAAAUGUCACUAGAAAUACAUGGACAUGGACUCCUGGGCUGCUGCUGAUGACUGUGAUCUUUUGGGGUCAGCAAGGGAGUGGGCAAGGCCAAGGUAGGUGGAAGCCUGCUCUAAUACAAUGAAAGCUCAUUAUGAUUUCCCAUUUGUGAUGAAAUUAUGAGUCUUCAGCUUGAUGCUUUCGGAAAUUUGUUAUCAUCUUUCACUGAGAUUUUUGACCAUGUCUACUGUAGUAAUUUUGAAACACUUAAAUUGAACUAGAAUUAGGUGCAAAUUAAUGUAUUGAAUUUGAAGCGGUCGUUCCAAAAUUGGUUUUACUCAGAUGUUAUAGAUACUACGUA
rnacentral:lncRNA from 1 species